rnacentral:rRNA from 1 species
GUCGAACGGUAGCACAGAGAGCUUGCUCUUGGGUGACGAGUGGCGGACGGGUGAGUAAUGUCUGGGAAACUGCCUGAUGGAGGGGGAUAACUACUGGAAACGGUAGCUAAUACCGCAUAACGUCUUCGGACCAAAGUGGGGGACCUUCGGGCCUCACACCAUCGGAUGUGCCCAGAUGGGAUUAGCUAGUAGGUGGGGUAAUGGCUCACCUAGGCGACGAUCCCUAGCUGGUCUGAGAGGAUGACCAGCCACACUGGAACUGAGACACGGUCCAGACUCCUACGGGAGGCAGCAGUGGGGAAUAUUGCACAAUGGGCGCAAGCCUGAUGCAGCCAUGCCGCGUGUAUGAAGAAGGCCUUCGGGUUGUAAAGUACUUUCAGCGGGGAGGAAGGCGGUAAGGUUAAUAACCUUAUCGAUUGACGUUACCCGCAGAAGAAGCACCGGCUAACUCCGUGCCAGCAGCCGCGGUAAUACGGAGGGUGCAAGCGUUAAUCGGAAUUACUGGGCGUAAAGCGCACGCAGGCGGUCUGUCAAGUCAGAUGUGAAAUCCCCGGGCUUAACCUGGGAACUGCAUUUGAAACUGGCAGGCUAGAGUCUUGUAGAGGGGGGUAGAAUUCCAGGUGUAGCGGUGAAAUGCGUAGAGAUCUGGAGGAAUACCGGUGGCGAAGGCGGCCCCCUGGACAAAGACUGACGCUCAGGUGCGGAAGCGUGGGGAGCAAA